CCCGGGCGGCGCGCGUGCGCACAAAGGAAGCCGGCUCUCGGGCAGGGACGCGGACGGUGCAGACCGGCAGCUCGCUGGCGUGGCCGGCGUCCCCGCCUGCUCCGCCCGCCGCUCGAGACCAGAGGUGGCUCGCCUGAGGGGGGCCGCCGGCCGAGACCUAGCCCGCCGACGCCCGCCAGGACUGGCGCCCGGCUUCCCUUCUACCUCCCGGAGGGCUGCCUCCGCGGCUGCUCGCCCGUGACGCCGCAGUCACCCACACAGACACCUUGCUACUACAGUGGUGUCACCCAUCAAGAUGAUAUAGAGUGGGGCACCUGGGCGGCUCAGUCAGUUGAGCAUCUGACUUUGGCACAGGUCAUGAUCUCCUGGUUUGUGA